rnacentral:rRNA from 1 species
GACAGAGGGUGCAAACGUUGUUCGGAAUUACUGGGCGUAAAGGGCGCGUAGGCGGACAGUUUAGUCAGAGGUGAAAGCCCAGGGCUCAACCUUGGAAUAGCCUUUGAUACUGGCUGUCUUGAGUUCGGGAGAGGUGAGUGGAAUGCCGAGUGUAGAGGUGAAAUUCGUAGAUAUUCGCAAGAACACCAGUGGCGAAGGCGGCUUACUGGUCCGGUACUGACGCUGAGGCACGAAAGCGUGGGGAGCAAACAGGG